rnacentral:lncRNA from 1 species
AAGCCACCCACGUACACUUUUUUUUUUUUUUUUAAAUCACAAAGCUCUUUCCAGUUAGAUUUCUAUUCCUGAUUGACUUGGGGUGGGGUUCAUAGAAUGGGUGACAUCUGAGCCGUGUGCCACUAAAUUUGAAAAUGUUGGAAAAGGAGACAGAGGGAAGAAGUGGAAAAGAACUGAGGAUGUGAGAAUGAAAACAGAUACAUCUACCGGUUCACUGCUUCCAGAAUGCGCCAGGCUGUUGUCCUCCUCCUGCUUCCACACACACUUUGCCUGGAAUGCCUUUCUCCCAGAGAGUCUUGAUUCUUGGACAAACCGAUACCCAUCCUUCAAAGCCCAGCUCGAAAGACACCUCCUCCAGGAAGCUGCC